GACGAACGCUGGCGGCGUGCUUAACACAUGCAAGUCGAACGAAGUGGCGAACGGGUGAGUAAUACGUGGGUAACCUGCCCUCCUUUUUGGGAUAAGCCUUGGAAACGGGGUCUAAUACCGAAUAAAGGGGGAUGGGCUCGCGGCCUAUCAGCUGGUUGGGGGGGUGAUGGCCUACCAAGGGGGUGACGGGUAGCCGGCCUGAGAGGGGGACCGGCCCCAGUGGGUCUGAGUUACGGCCCAGACUCCUACGGGAGGCAGCUGUGGGGGAUUGUGCACAAUGGGGGAAAGCCUGAUGCAGGGAUGCCGCGUGGGGGAUGAAGGCUUUCGGGUUGUAAACCUCUUUCGCGAUCGAACGGGUAGGUGUAGAAGAAGCGCCGGCUAACUACGUGCCAGCAGCCGCGGUAAUAC
rnacentral:rRNA from 1 species